rnacentral:rRNA from 1 species
UGGGGACUAUUGGACCAUGCGGGAAACCGUGAUCCAGCAAUGCCGCGUGAGUGAUGAAGGCCUUAGGGUUGUAAAGCUCUUUUACCCGGGAUGAUAAUGACAGUACCGGGAGAUUAAGCUCCGGCUAACUCCGAGCCAGCAGCCGCGGUAAUACGGAGGGAGCUAGCGUUGUUCGGAAUUACAGGGCGUAAAGCGCGCGUAGGCGGCUAAUCAAGUCAGGGGUGAAAUCCCGGGGCUCAACCCCGGAACAGCCCUUGAAACUAGGUAGCUAGAAUACUGGAGAGGUGAGUGGAAUUCCGAGUGUAGAGGUGAAAUUCGUAGAUAUUCGGAAGAACACCAGUGGCGAAGGCGACUCACUGGACAGUUAUUGACGCUGAGGUGCGAAAGCGUGGGGAGCAAACAGGAUUAGAUACC